CGCUGUCACCUGGCUUCCCGGAACCGCCCUGCGCCGUUAAACCAUUUGGGAAAACGUUUGUGACCCCUUUAGGAAUUGCUUCCGAUUACCCCACCGGGCUGUCGGAGCCCCGUGGCGGUUCGCCGGGGGAUUAAAGUUGAGGUUAUGAGAAAUAACGACCGAGUAGUGCCAUCGCAUUCAACUAACGGUACCGGGAACCUGUGCUCCGGAAGCAGUACAGACGAUAGUCUGGUGAGAGAGGCAUUCCAGUUUGAAGUACUGCAAACACAGCAUGAAGAAAUUAAACAGAAGCUGAAAGAAAUGCAGGAUGAAAUUCUUGCUAAAAAUGGAGAAAUUAAAAUUUUGCGUGACUCAAUGCAGCAGAUGGAGUAUGCUAUGGAGGAACAGAAAAGAUCAUACAUGCUACUGGAACAGCAAAAAUCUCAGACCUUAAGUGAAAAAGAAAAAGAGUUCUCCAAAAAGUUACUGUCAUUACAGUCAGAGUUGCAGUUCAAAGAUGCAGAAAUGAAUGAAUUAAGAACGCGACUUCAGAAUGGUGAAAGAAAUAAACAUGUUACUCAGACGGUUUUAUUGCCAAGCCCUAAAAAGAAUUUUGCAAUACAAGUGAAAUCAGAAGGAUGUUCUCCACAGCCUGGAAAAAGAUAUUUUCCUACAAAGGAAUCCUUCAAUGCUGAAAUGUCCACUAGACCAUCAUGUUCUUCAGGAAAUCUGAUUGCCCCGACUACUUUGAUCAAAGAAGACAGUAAGAUAACCCAUCCUGCAGUUUUAUCCGUGAAGCGUGAAGCAAUGGGAAAAAAUGGUUCCUACAACUGUGUACUGAAACGAAACACACAAGGUUCUAUCUUACUAAAUGCACUGAUGAAGCAGCCCAUUGUCCCUGGGUCGUUACUAGGACUCUGCCAUCUUCUUAGCAGUAACGCUGAGCCUCUACCUGGAGCUGUAUUGCAGCCUAACUAUUUGGAAUUGAAGUCUAGCAGCAGGACAACUCAAGAAGAAAUGGCUCCUCUUGUAUCCUUGCGAGAAGCUCAAAAACUUGCAAUAACAGGAUUGAACUUGAUUGCUAUGGACGAAGGAUUAUCUGAAGGAGGCCCAACAGAAAGCCAGAGGGAGUUCUUGCACCUCACACAGUGCAAGAUCCGAGGCGCCGUGCAUCUCUUGCCCUUGGUAGAACACCAUAUUGGUGCAUACUGUCAAGCUGUACAAUUGGCAGACAAGUCAGUAAAUGGUUCUUGUGGAAACCAUUCAGCUAUUUCUUCCAGGACCAACGCAAAUAUGGUGUCAAGUAAGGAGGACUUCAGGUUUUCUCUUGAAGAAACUACAGUUAUAUCACUGGGUAUUCUUUAUUAUUUGGCAUUUUAUAGCUGGGAUGUUGUCCACAUAUUGCUAUCUACUGAAGUGGAAAAAAGUUCAGCUGCUGGAGACGAACAGUUUUCCAAGAUGGACAAUAAUGCUUUGUGUGAUAAUCAGUGUGAUAAUAAAGAAGAUACCAGGACACAAGGAUGGCUGCCUGUAGCUCCACAGGAUGCUCCCAAUAAUGAUCGAGCUCAACAUUCUUUGUUUAAAAAGCUGCUUCAGGUUUUAGCUUUUUCUGCUGCAAAAGGCUCCCAGACUGAUAGCAUACUGAACCAAAGCCUAAAAGUUUUGGUGAAGUUAGCUGAAAAUUCAACAAUGGACUUGCUAAUAAAUUUUCAGCACUUAUUGAGUAGCCAGAUACUGCUCCGUUGUCUGUGUCCAGAGACCCCUUUGCCUGCUGUCCUUUUGACCGUGAGACUGUUGUCUGUUCUUGCUCAACACUGCUUGUUGGUUUCUCAACUUUGUUCUCAUUCAGACACCUGCCUCCUUCUUGCACUGUACAUGUAUAUAACGUCAAGACCAGAUAAAUCAGCAUCUGAAAUGCUUUGGCUUCAGCUGGAGCAAGAGACAGUCAGACUCCUGACAAGGUGUAUGCGGUGUUCCAGUCCAGCAGUUUUAUUACCUGGUGCAGACUGCCAAUGUAAUCUUGAGGUGGUUAAGGCACUAAUAAUAAUGUUACAUAGACAGUGGAUGAAGAUCAGAAGAUCUGAGAACAGCUUGUGCACAUAUAAGGAACAAAUUAUUCAGUUCUUACGGGAUGCUGUUCUACUCUUGCACAGCCUGUCUCAGAAAGAUAAACUGUUUCACGAACACUGUUUGGAAGUUCUCCAUCAAUAUGACCAAGCCAUGCCGGGCAUAAGAGCCAUUCUCAAAAAGACUCAAAAAUUGAGUGCCUGUGAAGAGCUGAUUUUGGACGAAUUGUAUCCUCCUGAGCCAGAAGCAGAAGACCAAGGAUUGGACUCCAGCUAGCUAACAUCUAGUAAAGAUCUCUGUCCUUCCUCAUCUAAAUAAUAAUAAUCAUUGCCAGUGUAAAUCUGAAAUUUAAAUAAUCUAUUUUAUGAAGUGAUAAUCUACAAGUUGUGUUCAAAUGCAGGACAACUAAGACAUUUCUGUUGUGAUUAUUUUAUUUAAGCACCAUCUAAAUGUAACUGAAAACAAAUUUUGACAUAAGAAUUAUACUGCAAUGAAUGGUUUUGCUGUGCAAAACCACUCAAUGGCUUAUGACUGGUUCUGUUUAUGAAUUUCAUCCUUUAUGCUGUGACUGGAAUGGACAUUUCACUAUUGUGUUCUCUGUUUUACUGUGACUACAGCUGAAUUUAUGAUGCUGAAUGUGGUGAAGUGUUGGGGAUCACUGAAUUCAUAUGAAAGUCUUUUGAACAUUUGUUUCUCUUGCCACUGUUAACACUUUCUUGCUUAACUUCCAACAUUUUCAUGUUGAUACUAGUAAACAGUUAUUGUGAUUUUAAAAGCCGUUCUAGAAAUAACUUAUAGUUGGCAGUUCAACUCUGAGCAAGAAAUUCAAAGCCCCGUAAUGAUCACUUGAGUGCACUCAUUUUUCUCAGUUUCAUGAAUCUGCUGACUCUGUAACUAUUGAGGUGCCAAACCAAAAAAUACUAGAACUUUUUUUUUUUUUAAGUUAUCUUAGAAGAGUAAGAAGGUAAUGUUAAAGAGAGCAUUCUGUCAUACUAUGUAAGAGAAGGAUACUUAAAUAUGUGCAGAAUGACUGAGCUUUUUGGUUGUAGUAUCUGGAUAGGCACUGCAGUGAAGAUGGAUGAGCAUCUCAUUCCUAGGAUACAGCACUGGAGGAAGAAUUGUUGCUAUACCCUCUCAAGUGUGUAUGAUUAUCAGCUGUCAUGCUCAGCUAUACUCGAUUCAGAACAAGCCUGGCUCCAGGGACUAGGAGGAGAAACAGCACUACAGUGGGAAGGAAGUCCUUGGAAAAUUGAGAAGCAUCCAGUUCUCUGGUCAUAACCCAAAGAGGCUAUGUCCUGCCCUGGUGUGCCUGGGCAAAGAGCCCCACUCCAGUGUGCUGAACAAGCUCUUGACUUGGCUUUCACUUUUGAAGAGAACUUUCCCAGAAACCACUGUGCAGGAAUAACCAGUGUAAUAAUCCAGCAUCUCCCUAGGGCCAAAGCUCUUAGGUACUCCUUCCCACAACAUGGCCUAGGGCUAAGCCUCCUCCUCUUUGAGCCACAGCUGGCAGAGCUCCACCAGUUCAUGGAAAAUGCAACCUGCCAACUGCUCCUCUCAGUAAUAGGUUUCAAAUCCCUUGUAGCAGCUGGGAAACUGCCAUUUUUCUGCUUAAAGGCAGCAAGGAAGGACACACAGGGACAUACCAGCAAAGCCUUGAGAGCUUGUGUUCUUGCAUGGUAAACACCCUAGAACUGCUACCAGGGCACUGGACAAGACGUACUACAGAAAUUUCAGCAUGACAAAACCAUUUGACUUGUCCACUUAAAAAAAACCAACCAAACAAACAAAAAAACCCCAACAAACCAGCAAACCAACACAGCACUUCCUGGCCUUCAGCAUUAGAGAGAGAGAAGAGCUUGGUAAUGUCUAUUAAAAGCCCCUUCCUCACUCAAAACCAAAACCACCAUCCAUUAAGAUAAUUCUUUAAAAACAUGAGCAGCAUCUGGUAGGUAGUGUCCUGCAAGUGGCAAACUUAAAGAGCUGUCCUAACAAAGAUGAGAUAGAUAGUCACAAUAUUCCAGAAUACAAUGACCUGCCAUCACUUUUCAACUGCUCUAUGCUAUUCUCACCACCUCAUUUCUCUAAACAUAAUUGAUUUAUAGAGAGAAGAUGCCUUAAAACCCUUCUUUGGGUGAAUAAACCAGAUGAACUGUUAAGAGGAGUUUGGAUGAAAACCAGUUAAGGAAUCCCAAAUUGUUGAAGCAAUCUAGUCAUAAAAACUUGUUUAAAAAAUUCCUGGCCUCAUCUAGAGAGCAUGUGUGCGAUGACUUGGUAAAAGGGAGACGUGUAUUACUGCUAAACUUUAUAUAAACAGAAGUGUUAUCUGUGGGGAAAAAAAUGCUAGGAAAAUAGCCCUAACUGUUCCCUUCUGGCACUGCAUCCCCUCCCAUCCACCCACUCUUAACAGACAACACCCUAACAUCUACGCUCUGAUUGUUUUCUUCCCGCUUUUGACUUUAAAGUGGUACAGCCCAGGCUAUAUACAAACCAACCAACCCACCCCAAACCCUACACCUCCACUGGCAGAAAUGACCGUAACAUGGAGGUAUGAAAUUAAACCAUGCCUUUUAAAAUUGAAGGCAUUUUCUGUAACUGAAAAGUUUAUGUUCCUAAGGAAAAAGGAGGCUGCACUCCUAAAGAUAAAAGGCAGACAUAGGUAACAGAACUGCCCUAAUUCAUUAUCUCUUAAGUCAUUUACAGUGACCAAUCUUUUGUCAGUAUUGCUGCAAAAUUGUACUGACCUUCAGUAAUUCUUCCCUUUUUACAUUCUCUGGAUCUCUUUAAUCCCAAGAAAAAAAUCCCAUCAUGUACGCAACAGCUGAUAAUCCCCUGAAAAAAACCUGAAGCAUUUUUACAGAUUAUGGGGCUACUGGUUUACUAUCUUCAUGACCUAAAAAUAACAGACUGUUCUCAUCAGACACUCCCUGAAGAAUUCACAGCAUAGCAGUUCUUUUUUCAAGGCCAGUUCACAUUUUCCCAACAUGUUAUAGAUAAGAUGUGCCUCUGUAUUAACUGAGAAAAGGAAUUUACUCUGGCAUCAAGCACAGUCACAGGACUGAAUAAUGAAGUAUUGAGCAACAACAAAAACCACUAGUGACGUUCUAUACAUGAUGAUCACAUUCCUCAGUCAGCAGCAGCCACCCAUCUGUUUUCUUGCCCAUAGGGAUGGCAACUGGAGUUUCCCCUUUGCUGAAAGCUGAGCUGAGUAAAGCUGUGUUUUUCCUCUUCAAUGAACUGCACUGAGCAGACAGGACUAAAGCUAGGCAGGAGCUGGAUGAAGAAAGCAAUCACCUCUACUAGCUUACCCAUCACUCAGGCAACUUUAUGCAAAAAGGAGGAUGAUAGCCUUGCUGACUUGUAUUUUAAGAUCUACUGACACUACCCCUCAAACAGCUGUGGCACAGGAGGAGGUAUCACUGCAUUGCUAAGCAUCUUCCUGUGGCGAUUCAAGGACCUGAGGUACUGCAUGGAUUCAAACACACAGCAGUUUACUUUUUCUAGAGAGAAAAUAAAUGAUGCUUCAUUGACUAAAAUAUUUAGGGAAAUUGCACAGGUAACACCUUAUUUUCUGUAACUCAUAGAAUCAUUGACUAGUUGAGAUUGGAAGGUAGGUCAGCUCAUCCAGCCCCCAAUCAAAGCAGACUUCCAGACAAGACAAGUAACUGUUGUGUCAGGCCUCAAACGCAUUUCUAUAAACCAAGCUGUAUAGGUGAAGAUGGCAAAUACAAAAUACCUCAUCAUGCAGUGCACAACAUCUGACCCAAGUUGCUUUCAUUCAUAUUAAUCCCGCUAGUGUGAACUACUGCUUGAGAAAGUUUAGCCUGUGUUAGACUAUUAGAACAGUAAGUUAUUUUAACCAUUGAAUGUUUUUUGUAUUAGUCACAGUCAGUAAUAUUAAUUAUGGUUAUAUUAAUUGGGGUCAAAUGCAGCAGUUCUGAUCUGCCUGAGUAAAGACUGUGUAUUACAUGCUGUGAAUGCAAUAGCAAAUACAAACUUACAUUUACAGUGUAAAUUGUUAAAAGUAAAAACUAUACCUCAUUGAUUAGAAUUUAGCAGACUGAUAAAGGAAAAGGUGGUCUGUGAGCUUUAUAAAGACCUACAAACCCACUGUGGCUGAAUUUUAUCAAAACACUUCCACAAGUGAGGGCCAACACGUUCAGUAUGAACUGCAGUCUCUGAACAGAGAUAAGCACCGAACAGUGAUUUUUUUUUUUUCCUCUACGCAUUAGUCAUACUGUAGGUUGGUAUUUUAAGAAUCUAGCUGAACAAUUUGUUUUGCUAAAGACCUUUACAGCACAGCUGCGCUGCGGCACCUGCCCAGCAGCAUGUAAAGCAGAUCCUACCUGAUUCCAGGGCCAAGUUAACAUCAAGAGUAAAAAAAAUAGGCCCCAAAACACUGGCUAAAGCAAACCUCACAAGUUAUCAUACAAGUUUCUAUACUUUAGGGAGAGGGGGCGGGGAGGGGAAUAAAGGGAGAGAAUUGCUGCUUUGGCAAUAAUUGCUAAAGUUUUUCCCUCCUUUGUGUCCAGCUCCUCCAUGCAACCCUGCCAUGGGUUUUAAGAUGCAUGCCAAGUUUUGGUCUGGAAAAAUUCACACUACCAUAAACAACUGCUGAUUAAACGUUAGGAAAACAUAACCAGCAGUAUUCCUCACCUAACCCCAGGCUCUCAGCGUUUUAGUUCAGCGGUUUGCUCUCCUAUACAACAUUUUGCUGCAAUUUUAGAGGGUGAAGGUACCUUUGAAACCCUAUGUGCUUGCUAAAGGAAAUCUGAAGGUUUUAAACAAAACACAGGCUCCUGUUCCCCAGACCUGUGUGCAGAGAGAAGGGAAGGCACACAGCUUUUCUCUGCAUAGGAGGCUUCUCUGCAUGCUGCUUCUCAUAUUCAGCCAGAUUGCACAGAUGCACCUGCUAAAAAGUCAUGGGAAAAGAAAAAUAGAUGAAUGAAAAAAUUAAUGGCAAUAAAAACAUCAGAAAUAACUCUGCAAUUUCCUGGUGUAAUUUCUAGCCCAAACAUUAAUUAUAUUUGUUUUCUAGAUUUAGGUUUUUAGGAGCAUACAUUUUUCCUGCUGUCCCCAGUUAACUAAUAGAAAUUCUGUUGAGAAAAUGUGAAAUAAAAUUGGAAGUGAAAUGAUCUACAUUUCAUCUGCAAACACAUUAUCAGCCUGCAGCUGAAACUCCACUAAAUUCAAGAGGUAACAUUACAAAAC